AAAUAUAUAAAUAUAGAGUUCCUGGUUUCAUUCUGAUGUGGAACAGGUUAGUGUCCCACAGGAUGGAAAGUAACUUCCUGUCCAGCUCUGCGAAUAAAUUCUUAGCAGCAAACUUAUUUCUGUGUUAUUUUUCAAGUUCAUAUAUUUUCCCUAUUCAUCUCCUGUUUUCAGGUAGACUGUGGCAGAAUUGCUUAGAGAGCUGACGCCCGCACUGAGCUCAGCACAUCCGCUUCAGCUGAGAAAGCUGAAGCCAAAAAGGUGUGAGGGGAGAUUUACUGACACACAUUGAACCCAGUGAAAUACUGAGGAAAUGAAACUAGGUUAGGUGAAUAAGGACAUGAGGUCCACUGCAUGUGUUUGGGAGGAAGGAGGAUGGAUGGGCAGGCAGAAAAGAAGGGCAGUUACCCCUCGGAGGAGGCUACUAGGGAGCUACUCAGCUCCCUAAGACUGGUAGAGCGCUUUAGGUCCCACUGCUUCAUCUCUGCUAUGGCAAAAGACGGAGCUUUCUGGAAUAUGCUGCGAUAAAUGAUGUGUGUCUGGCAUACAGGACUCCUCAUAAUUUUGUUUUUCCUCCUCUUUCCAAACUAGUCUUGUUAGUAUUGUGUAUGCAUUGGGAUAUCGUAGUCCUAAAGUCUUGUUUUUUUCCCUUUCAACUUUUUAUCCAUCCUGUUGAGCCUGGUCAAUGGAGCAGGUUGUCUUCUCAGACCAAACCACUGAAUGACAAAGUUGUUUUAUGUUUUCCUGCAGUGUCAAAGAAGGUUACAUGGAAGAGCAAGUACCAAGGAUGCAAAGCAGGGCUUCAAAAACCAAGUGCCUGUAACACAAAACUGGCUUAGACUUGUUCUGAAUCAAGGGGAGGAAAAUGAAGUGACUGGAAGUCUACAUGGAACUGCUGAUCAGGGAGAAGGGAGAACAAGGUUUAGCUAUCAGACAAUAAAUGGCCUUGAAUGGAAGAAAACUGCAUUAAAAUGAAGCAGCUUCCCUUGAGACGAAAGGCACUGAGCAAGUCUGAAAACAAAUUCUGUCUCAAGCUGUGAUACCUUUCUUUUUCUUUUGCCUUAGGAAGUUGGUAAGGAUAAGCAKUGCUUGUCAAAUAGCAGUUUGUUAGCUGUCAGCAGCACCUGGAGGUGACAAAACCAAAAAUCAGUUUUUGCACAUUUUCAAAUAGUGGCCAGUUGUUGAGUUGAAAAGAGAGGAAUCAUCAGAUGUUGCUUAUCAAACAAAGACAUAGUUUUCAUGCUCAGCACCUCAAAGAAAACUUAGAUUUUCAGUUCUUAGGACUCAGAAAAAGACCUUUGUUCCUUUGAAGUAAUAACAAGCGAUGUGAAAUGAAUUUUAAUCAGGACCUGCCAAUAUCUAUCAGUGCACAGCAUUUCAUAUCUCAGAUAGUAACAGUCUGGAGAAAAUGACAGACUGCAGAAAGUAAAAUCUGGAGGCGAAGCACAGUUUCCUGUAUCCAGGUCAGAUAAAGGUGCAGAAUGUCUUUUGGGUAUCAGCAGUGCCUUCUACCAGAGGAUAAAAAGCACAAGACAGCUCCUCUUCUACAUAUCCUUAAUAUGACCCUGGUAUGUGAUGGAUUUUUAAAUAUCUGCCAUUAAAACCCAAAUGGAAUGAAUGUGUUUGCAAAAGAAAUACAAAACAAAGCAAAUAGAACAGGGGCCUGUAAUACAGCAGCAAUAUUCUGUGUUUACCAAUAAAGAUACUUGAUGCAAUAAUGAAAAAUAAGAU
ensembl:lncRNA